rnacentral:rRNA from 1 species
UACGGGGGGAGCAAGCGUUGUUCGGAUUUACUGGGCGUAAAGGGCGCGUAGGCGGUCAGCACAAGUCAGUUGUGAAAUCUCCGGGCUUAACCCGGAAAGGUCAGCCGAUACUGCGGGGCUAGAGUGCAGAAGGGGCAACUGGAAUUCUCGGUGUAGCGGUGAAAUGCGCAGAUAUCAGGAGGGACACCGAUGGCGAAGGCAGGUCUCUGGGCAUUAACUGACGCUGAGGAGCGAAAGCAUGGGGAGCGAACAGG